UCGUAAUGUAAAUAUCGGAUAUGCAGGAUGGUCUUAGGCGACCCCUGUGAAAGGGUCGUUCGACCGCCAAAGGGGUCGCGACCCACAGGUUGAGAACCACUGCUCUAGAAUCUGCCCUGCCCUGUGACUGCUUAACAACAGAAGGUCGUGCAAGUGACAUUUGCCUAAAUGGGUCUCAGCCUAAGAACAUCUGGAAGCUUCUGGUUUUACAUUUGGGAGCCCUGAAUAGUCCUACAGAAAUCUGGCUACUCUGUUGGCGAGACCACCUGCCACCAUGUGGAGAGAAAGACCAAUCCAUCCCAGGAAAGCCUCUGAAGGGCUUCAGUCUCACUCCCUCCUCAUUACAGCUUGAGUCUGCAAGGCGCCAGAAUAGGAGACCACAGGACACUUCACUGUUCUCUUGUUCCCUGCAUACCAUCUCUAUGUGCUGUAAGUGUUAGCAAUCCUGUACCACACACGGAAAGGACGUGUGUCUCUCCAAUUUUCUUUUUAUUUGAUCUCAGAGAUUUCCCUGUUUUGCUUUCUCCCGCCCCUUUAAUCUACCACCAGUGGAUUUCAUGUAACCUUCCUUAUGCCGCCUCCUUUUAUUCUAAUGUACAAAAUAAGCUGUAAAAAUGCCAUUCUCUGGAGCAUUUCCUCAAUCCAUUGAGAUUUUGCUUCCUUGCCAAUUUUCAUCAGUUUGGCUUAAAUAAACUCAUCACAAUUCUC